GCUUUUGUGGUCACUGAUGCCUUAUUCUGCUACUAACCCUAAAAAGCACUAAAUGCACCAAACAGAAUGUUAUAAAUAAUUGUUUCCAAACAGGUUUCCAUGACAGGAGACGGCGUUUAUGCAUCCAGAAAAGCCGCUCUUGAUCUGGGAUCAUCUAGAGACUGAUGGUGUCACUUCUUUUGACACCAGAAAUGGCGUCUGAAGCGCGCUAAGAAGUAAGGGUGGAUCAGACGAGGCGCUUGCGUUUAAUGACAGUGGUAUGAGAUCAUUAUUCUGAAAUCAAUCCUCUAAUUGCUGUCCUCAGGUGCUUCUGGCUCUCAGCGCGGCCGCUCCGGAUCCAGGUGUGAACGCUGUCUCUGGUUUGGCAGAUUCCCCCUCAGUCGCCCUGUUUGGAUCAGAACUCAGAGAGGAAAGAUGCAUCAAACGCACCGUGAAAUCCACAGCUCACGAGACUUCAUGGAGAAAUGAGCAGUGAUCUCACAUUGCUAUCUAGGAAACAAAUUUAAGUGCACAUACAAAUAAAAAUACGUCAUGGUGUGAACGGUAAAACUGGACUCUGAGAUUCUGCUGUUUCCUUAAAGUAGGUCAUCUCUGUUUCACACACAGCAGACUGGUACAAAAAUAAUACUGUGCUGCUAGAACCAGAAACACACACACACACACUCACCUGAAAAAGAGAUUCUGAGGCAGCUGCUCACACACACCUGCCCAUCGUCAGCUGAUGGUCACUGUAUUAUAACUGUAGCUGGUCUGUAGCAGCUUUGCUUCCCAUCAAAUAUUUAACAAGUAGAUGUGGGUCGUUUCACUUCUGCUUUUCCUAACACAUGAAUCUGCGUGUGUUUUAGUUUAAGAUCAGACUCAAUGUUUACUGAGGGAUUGACAGGUUACAUAAGGACAUUGUUUGGAAAUGUUGAUAUUAUCAAUCUGGGGUGCG
ensembl:lncRNA